CUAAUACACAUGCCAUGCAUUAUCUGGCUUCUUCUCUCCCUCCCACGAAAAGAGUUUCGUAGAGCCGUAAGGCUGUCUGGGUUCCGACAGGAACUAGUUCUGUACGGCGAAGCCCUGCCGGAUAGAUGACACCGUAUGUGUGCAACUCUGUAGAGAGAUCGUAGUUUCGGUCUUAGUUCGUGAGUGCCUCCCGAAGGGCUGUCCGUGUGACCGUCUGAGUUUCGAAGGUCCUCCCGAAGGGCUGUCCGAGUGACCGUUCGAGUUUCAAAGGUCCUCCCGAAGGGCUGUCCGCGACACCGUCCGGGGGCUGUUCGACCGCCUCCUGGAGGGCUGUCUGAGGAGCAGAUGAGGGUAUACAUCCUCGCGGUUGGGAGGUUGUAAAUCCUAGCUGCGGGGAUCUGCACCGCCGAUCGUCAUCGACUCUACUUCCCGCUGCGCUACGAGUCGACUACGAGACCGACGCUGCUGCUGCCUAGUUCGACUACGGAGUUGAAGAUCCCUCCUACUUGCCAGAGCAACCAGAUGCUAGAGUCCAGGAGCCAGACGCCACCAUCGACGACGACUCCUACGACACUGGAGGUGCCUACUACUACGUGUAGCCAGCUGACGACGACCAGGAGUAGUUAGGAGGAUCCCAGGCAGGAGGCCCGCGCCUCAUUCGAUCUGUAUCCCAGUUUGUGCUAGCCUUCUUAAGGCAACUUGUUUAACUUAGGUCUGUACUCAGAUAUUGUUGCUUCCACUGACUCGUCUAUGAUCGAGCACUUGUAUUCGAGCCCUCGAGGCCCCU
rnacentral:rRNA from 1 species